rnacentral:rRNA from 1 species
UACGUAGGGUGCGAGCGUUAAUCGGAAUUACUGGGCGUAAAGCGUGCGCAGGCGGUUUUGUAAGCCAGAUGUGAAAUCCCCGGGCUUAACCUGGGAAUGGCAUUUGGGACUGCAAGGCUUGGAGUGCGGCAGAGGAGACUGGAAUUCCUGGUGUAGCAGUGAAAUGCGUAGAUAUCAGGAGGAACACCGAUGGCGAAGGCAGGUCUCUGGGCUGACACUGACGCUCAUGCACGAAAGCGUGGGGAGCGAUCCGG